AUUGAACGCUGGCGGCAGGCCUAACACAUGCAAGUCGAACGAGAGGCGGAAGGGUGAGCAAUGUCUGGGAAACUGCCUGAUGGAAGGGGCUCACUACUGGAAACGGUAGCUAAUACCGCAUACCAUCGGAUGGGGCCAGAUUGGAUGAGCUAGUAGGUGGGUGAAAGGCUUACCUAGGCGACGUUCCAUAGCUGGUCUGAGAGGAUGACCGGCCACAUUGGAACUGCGACACGGUCCAGAAUCCUACGGGAGGCAGCAGUGGGGAAGAGUGGACAAUGGGCGAAAGUCUGAUGCAGCCAUGCCGCGUGUAUGAAGAAGGCCUUCGGGUUGUAAAAUACUUUCAGCUGGGAGGCGUGACCCACAGAAGAAGCACCGGCUAACUCCGUGCCAGCAGCCGCGGUAAUUC
rnacentral:rRNA from 1 species